rnacentral:lncRNA from 1 species
CGAGGUUUCCAGAGCGGACCCGGAAAUGACGCCAGGGGAUGCAAACCCUUCUGCCCCUUUUUGCUACCCCUGAAGCUUACUGUUAGUGGUCGAGUUUUUCUGGAAGUGGGCUUCCGCGAUCGCGGGGACCAACGCCCUGAGCUCUUGUGCCCAAAGGGGAUCGCCAGGUUUUUUGAUGCGGAUCGAAAGGGACUGGCCCCGGAGCCUACAACCUGACGCAGGUGGACAAGGUGGAGGAGAGAGAAUUCCUUGGCAGUAGCAUUAUGAACAAAUGCAGGGCUGAGAAACAGCAUGGUGGCCUUGACUAAGUUUAUGGCGACAGCAGAUGGAGUCUUGCUCUGUCGCCCAGGCUAGAGUGCAGUGGCGCGAUCUCAGCUCACUGAAACCUCUGCCUCCCGGGUUCAAGUGAUUCUCCUGCCUCCGCCACGCGAUGCCUCUUCAUGGGUGGUGGAUGAAGAAACUGAACAGGGCCAUGAUCCUUAUCUGUAAUUUCCCGGCUACCACACUGCUUUGGUGGUCUUCCCUCGUCUCUUCCUGGGUAGAAACAACUACCUGGAGAUCCCAAUGUUCUUGUCAGUGCACUUUUCAUGGACUGCAGUGGUAAGACGAUGUGUUGGAUGCCCAAACACAAACCAAGAGCCCUCUACCUUCGCAAUUCCCGGUGCUGUGGAGCUGUCAGAGUUUUAACAUCUCAACCAAGCCACAUGGAUACUAUUUCCUCAGAAAAGACAAAAUUGAUCCAAGCAGAAGAGUGAACUCACCGAAGAGGACUCUCUACCCAUAACUGGGGAUGCCUCAGCCACUCACACUUACUCCAAGAUUAGUGUCACUGAUUAUGGAAAGAAUUGACUUCUUCCCCUGGUCUUGCUCAUUUUUCUAGAGCCCAGGACAAUAAAUGUGUUUUACGGCAGAGAAAAGUGAAGACGGGUGGAAUUGUGUGUGUUGAGAGAGAAGCAGAUAGGCAAUCUUACGCUUUGGCUCCUAGAUUAUGCAGGUGCCUCUUUUCUAUCAUCUCCAUAAAUCCUACCCUUACUGCGCUUCCUAUUCUGCAGGGGUAUUUUGUUGUCCGUAACAGAACUCCUCCUCUGUCUGUAAAGUUUAGGUUUUGAUAAAAAAUCCUCUUCCCUCCAGAAGCGUCUACUAAAAAUACAAAAAAAUUAGCUGGGUGUGGUGGCAUCCACCUGUAGUCCCAGUUACUCAGGAGACUGAGGCAGGAGAAUCGCUUGAAACUGGGAGGCGGAGGUCGCAGUGAGCCAAGAUCAUGCCACCGCACUCCAGCCUGGGUGAGAGUGAUACUCCGUCUCAAAAAACAAAUGAACAAUAAAAAACAAACAAAAAAGAAAUAAAUGUCUAGGGCUAGGUGCCAUGGCUCAUGCCUAUAAUCCCAGCACUUAGGGAGACAUAGGUGGGCAGAUCACUUGAGGUCAGGAUUUCGAGACCAGCUGGACAACAUGGCAAAACCCUGUCUCUGUUAAAAAUACAAAAAUUAGCCAGGUUUGGUGGCCCACACCCAUUGGGAGGCUGAGGCAUGAAAGUCACUUGAACCUGUGGAACCUGGGAGGUGGAGGUUGCAGGGAGCCAAGAUCAUGCCACUGCAGGUGAGCCUGGGUGACAGAGCAAGACUCUGUCUCAAAAAAAAAAAAAAAAAAAAAAAAAAGAGAGAGAAAGAAAUAAGUGUCUAGAAUAUUUUAAAGGCUAUGGAAAUAAAGCAGGAAUAUUUUCAUGAAAGGCAGCUUAUAAAGGAUGAGGAUGGUUUUCUCUUUAGGGUAAAGGAACUAAUAUUUAUUAAGCACUUACUAUUUAUCAGGCAGUAUGUGACAUACAAUGUAUGUGGGAGUGUGUGUGUGUCUUUCCUCACAAUUAUUUUAUAGAGUAGGGGUUAGUACAAUGAAGAUGUUGUAGCUUAGAGAGAGGAAGUGGCAAAACCAGAAUUGGAAAACAAGACUGUUGGGCUCCAAGGUCCAUGCACUUUUCCCCUUUAAAGGUCUUAGGUAAAGAGUAGACCCAUUUGGAUAGGCCCAAACUAACAGUCUAUCUCCAGAGUCCUUGUCCUAAAUUCUUUACCCCACUGCCUUCUGAGAGGAAGUUCAUCUUUUUACCAGGGAGUAGCCACCUUCAGAAGAAUUCUCCUGUCUAUAUAACCAAAUUAAUAGAAUCCUGGUAAAUCAACUGGAAUGUUAACUGUUCUGAUUUUCAACUGUUUUUACCUUCAUCAUUAAUACUGAAUAUGGACUGUAGGUUGGAUAACUGCUGUUCAAGGUAAGGAACUCUGAGCAGCAGCCUUGAGCUACCAAGGCAUUAAAUAGGAUUUUUGCUUAAAAAUCCUAUAUUUUUGCUUAAAAAUAUUAAAAAUAUGACUGAGUAUAUGUAUAUAUUCCCCCCACAUUCCAAAGAUAAACACUGUUAAGCAUGUAAAGCACAUUUUACUGUAUAUAUAUGGGUGGCAUAUGUGUGUGAGUGUGUGUGUGUAUACAUAUAUACACAUACACUUCUAGACAUUUAUAUACAUGUGUUGUGUGUAUAUGUUGUGUAUGUUUUUAAAAAGGGAUUGUCUUUGGCUGGGCACAGUGGCUCACGCCUGUAAUCCCAGCACUCUGGGAGGCUGAGGCAGGAGGAUUCCUUGAGCUCAGGGUUUUAAGAGCAGCCUGGCCAACAUGGCAAAACCCCAUCUCUACUAAAAAUACAAAAAUUAAAAAAAAGAAAUUUAUCUGGAUGUGGUGGCGCCACCUGUAAUCUCAGCUACUUGGGAGGCUGAGGCAGGAGAAUCGCUUGAAGCUGGGAGGCAGAGGUUGCAGUAAGCUGAGAUUGCUCCACUGCAUUCCAGCCUGGGUGACAGAGUGAGACCCCAUCUCAAAAAACAAAGUUGGGGCAGGGGGGGAUUUGCUAUCCUAUUAAAAAUUUUUGGAUCUUUUUUUUUAAAAACUUAAUGCUAUUUCUUGAACACCUUUACUUAAAGAAAAUAGAUAGCUAAAUAUUGCAGUGUGAAGAAAAAGGUCAAUAAAUAUUUGUUGAAUUAAUGUAACAUUUCCUUUGAUCACCAGCUGCUUCUAAUUCCCUACUUCAGGUAUUGUUGAAUACUACAUUGCUUUAGGCAAAAAGUGUUUUAUUUCUCACUGGAUCAAAAACAAUUAAGGAUGUCAUUUUCUCUUCUUCCUUUGAGUUCCAAUAAAUCUACAUUUGUUCUUGUUCCCUUGUUUAGAGGUGCAAUGGAAAAGAAGUUUGCAGAUUGUACUCCUGCCUGGUUGGAUAAACUCAUUUGAAAAUAAGCUCCUGUUUUGUGCAGAUGCAAAUUUAAAUGUGCUAUUUGUAACUAAUCACUGAUAAAAUAGAGAUUUCCAAAAUAUAUUGAGAAAAAGAGCUGCAGAAUAAUUUGCAAGUUUCAUAAAAUCAGGAAGAAUGCAUUUAAAAACUAAAGUAAGCUAGGAAGGAUGGCUCAUGCCAGUAAUCCUAGCACUUUUGGUGACUGAGGUGGGAGGAUCACUUGAGCCCAGGAGUUUAAGGCCAGCCUGUGCAACAUAGAUCUCAUCUCUACAAAAAAAUUAAAAAAUUAGCUAGAUAUGGUGGCAUAUACCUAUAGUUCCAGCUACUCAGGAGGCAGAGAUGGGAGGAUCACUUGAGCCUAGGAGGCUGAACCUGCAGUGAGUCAUGAUUGCACCACUGCAUUCUAGCUUGGAUGACACAGUGAGACCCUGUCUCAAAAUAAACAAAACAAAACAAAAAAGAAAAGAAAAACUAUGGUAGAAGUGGUAGGGGGAAUUGAGGGAAUGGGGGAAAGGAAAGGCCAAAGACUUUUUCUAUGCCUUUUAAUACUUUCUCAUUUUUGAACCAUCUGAAUAUAUAUGACUUGGGCAAAAAAAAUUUAAGCAAAAAAUAUUGCAUCUGUUUCUUUCAUUGUAACUAUGCUAAGUUUGGUGAAAAUUGUUCUUUAUUUUUAAAUUUUGUUUUCUCUUACACUAAACUAUUGUGAUGGUUAAUUUUAUGUGUUAAUUAGACUGGGCCAUGAUAUGCCCAGAUAUUUGGUCAAUCAAUAUUCUGAGUGUUCUGUGAGUGUAUUUUUGGAUGAGUUUGACUUAUUAAUAUUAUUGUUAAUAUUAUUUUUUAGACAGGGUCUCUCUCUCUGUCACCCAGGCUGGAGUGCAGUGGUACAAUCUUCGCUCACUGCAGCCUCAACCUCCUGGGCUCAAGUGAUCUUCUCACCUCAGCCUCCUGAGUAGCUGGGACUACAGGCAUGUGCUACCACACCUGGCCAAUUUUUCUAUUUUUUGUAGAGACAGGGUUUCACCAUGUUGCCCAAGCAGGUCUUGAACUCCUGGUCUCAAGCAAUCCCUCUACCUCUACUUUCCAAAGUGCUGGAAUUACAGGUGUAAGCCACCAUGCCUGGCUGAGUUUAACAUUUUUAAAUUUAAAUUUAAAUUUUUAUUUUUAUUUUUUUGAGACAGAGUUUCACUCUUGUUGCCCUGGCUGGAGUACAAUGGUGCAAUCUCGGCUCACCACAACGUCUGCCUCCAGGUUCAAGCGAUUCUCCUGCCUCAGCCUCCCAAGUAGCUGGGAUUACAGGCACCUGCCACCAGGCCCAGUUAAUUUUUGUAUUUUUAGUGGAGAUUGGGUUUCACCAUGUUGGCUAGGCUGGUCUCGAACUCCUGACCUCAGGUGAUCCACCUGCCUCAGCCUCCCAAAGUGUUGGGAUUACAGACAUGAGCCACCACGCCCGGCCUUAAAUUUUUAUUUAUAUUUUGAGGGGGUCUCAUUGUGUUGCCCAGACUGGAGUGCAAUGGCACGAUCAUGGCUCACUGCAAUCUCCACCUCCUAAGCUUGAUUCUCCUGCCUCUGCCUCCUGAGUAGCUGGAACCACAGGUCUGCACCACCAUACCAGGCUAAUUUUUUGUAUUUUUGGUAGAGAAGGGGUUUCACCAUAGUGCUCAGGCUGGUCUCUAACUUGUGAGCUCAAGUGAUCCGCCCACCUCGGCCUCCCAAAGUGCUGAGAUUACAGGUGUGACCCAUGGCACCUAGCCGAGUUUAACUCUUAAAUAAAUAAACUGUGCCAGGCAUGGUGGCUUGCACCUGUAAUCCCAGCAAUUCAGGACAUGGAGGUGGGAGAAUUGCUUGAACCUAGGAGUUUGAGACCAGCAUGGACAACAUAGUGAGACCUUGUCUCUAAAAAUAUAAAAUUUUAAUUAAAAAAAAACUGAAUAAAGCAGAUUACCCUCCCCAAUGUGGGUGGGCCUCAUCCCGUCAGUUGCAAGCCUGACUAGAACAAAAGCCUGGCCUCCCAGGAAGAAGAGGGAAUUCCUCCUGCCCGACUGUUUUUUAGCUGGGACAUUGGUUUUAUUUCUGCCUUUGAACUCAACCUGAAACACUGGCCGUUCCUGGAUUUUGAGCCUGCUGGCCUUCAAACUGGAUCUAUACCACUGGCUCUCCUGGGUCUCCAGCUUCCUGACUGCAGAUCUUGGGAUUUGUUGGUCUCAUAAAUAUUAUAUAUGUAUAUGUAAAAUGUUGAUUCUGUUUCUCUUUAAAAAGAAAAGACAGCUGGCCAGGCACGGUGGCUCACACCUGUAAUCCCAGCACUUUGGGAGGCUGAGGCGGGUGCAUCACCUGAGGUCAGGAGUUCGAGACCAGCCUGACCAAAAUGGAGAAACCCCGUCUCUACUAAAAAUACAAAAUUAGCUGGGCGUGGUGGCGCAUGCCUGUAAUCCCAGCUACUCAGGAGGCUGAGGCAGGAGAAUAGCUUGAACCUGGGAGGUGGAGCUUACAGUGAGCCACCGAGAUUGUGUCAUUGCACUCCAGCCUGGGCAACAAGAGCAAAUCUCCAUCUCAAAGAAAAGACAAGACAAGACACCUUUGAGGUCCUCUUCUGGUCCUCUGCACCAGAAAGCUUGGGAGAGUGGGGACAUAUUUUUCCCCCAUUGCUGCAUUCCUAGUAACUAGAUGUGUGCUGCAAAAAAAAAAAAAUAGUUUAAGGAAUGAAUUGGUAGCU